AGAAAGCAGGGGACCUUCGGGCCUUGCGCUAUCAGAUGAGCCUAGGUCGGAUUAGCUAGUUGGUGAGGUAAUGGCUCACCAAGGCGACGAUCCGUAACUGGUCUGAGAGGAUGAUCAGUCACACUGGAACUGAGACACGGUCCAGACUCCUACGGGAGGCAGCAGUGGGGAAUAUUGGACAAUGGGCGAAAGCCUGAUCCAGCCAUGCCGCGUGUGUGAAGAAGGUCUUCGGAUUGUAAAGCACUUUAAGUUGGGAGGAAGGGUUGUAGAUUAAUACUCUGCAAUUUUGACGUUACCGACAGAAUAAGCACCGGCUAACUCUGUGCCAGCAGCCGCGGUAAUACAGAGGGUGCAAGCGUUAAUCGGAAUUACUGGGCGUAAAGCGCGCGUAGGUGGUUCGUUAAGUUGGAUGUGAAAGCCCCGGGCUCAACCUGGGAACUGCAUUCAAAACUGUCGAGCUAGAGUAUGGUAGAGGGUGGUGGAAUUUCCUGUG
rnacentral:rRNA from 1 species